AUUGAACGCUGGCGGCAUGCCUUACACAUGCAAGUCGAACGGCAGCACGGGAGCAAUCCUGGUGGCGAGUGGCGAACGGGUGAGUAAUGUAUCGGAACGUGCCUUGUCGUGGGGGAUAACGUAGCGAAAGCUACGCUAAUACCGCAUACCAUCUAAGGAUGAAAGCGGGGGAUCGCAAGACCUCGCGCGACAAGAGUGGCCGAUAUCAGAUUAGGUUGUUGGUGGGGGUAAAGGCCUACCAAGCCGACGAUCUGUAGCUGGUCUGAGAGGACGAUCAGCCACACUGGGACUGAGACACGGCCCAGACUCCUACGGGAGGCAGCAGUGGGGAAUCUUGCGCAAUGGGCGAAAGCCUGACGCAGCAACGCCGCGUGGGGGACGAAGGGCUCUCGGGUUGUAAAACCCCCUUUUCAGGAGGGACGAAAUUGACGGUACCUCCAGAAGAAGCCCCGGCCAACUACGUGCCAGCAGCCGCGGUAAU
rnacentral:rRNA from 1 species